rnacentral:rRNA from 1 species
AGUGAACGCUGGCGGCAGGCCUAACACAUGCAAGUCGAACGGCAGCACAGUAAGAGCUUGCUCUUACGGGUGGCGAGUGGCGGACGGGUGAGGAAUACAUCGGAAUCUACUUUUUCGUGGGGGAUAACGUAGGGAAACUUACGCUAAUACCGCAUACGACCUACGGGUGAAAGCAGGGGAUCUUCGGACCUUGCGCGAUUGAAUGAGCCGAUGUCGGAUUAGCUAGUUGGCGGGGUAAAGGCCCACCAAGGCGACGAUCCGUAGCUGGUCUGAGAGGAUGAUCAGCCACACUGGAACUGAGACACGGUCCAGACUCCUACGGGAGGCAGCAGUGGGGAAUAUUGGACAAUGGGCGCAAGCCUGAUCCAGCCAUACCGCGUGGGUGAAGAAGGCCUUCGGGUUGUAAAGCCCUUUUGUUGGGAAAGAAAAGCAGCAGGUUAAUACCCCGCUGUCCUGACGGUACCCAAAGAAUAAGCACCGGCUAACUUCGUG